rnacentral:rRNA from 1 species
AGUCAACAUGCCCAGGGGACGUGGAUAACCUCGGGAAACUGAGGAUAAACCACGAUAGGCCAAGGCUUCUGGAAUGAGCCAUGGCCGAAAUCUAUAUGGCCUUUGGAUUGGACUGCGGCCGAUCAGGCUGUUGGUGAGGUAAUGGCCCACCAAACCUGUAACCGGUACGGGCUUUGAGAGAAGUAGCCCGGAGAUGGGCACUGAGACAAGGGCCCAGGCCCUAUGGGGCGCAGCAGGCGCGAAACCUCUGCAAUAGGCGAAAGCCUGACAGGGUUACUCUGAGUGAUGCCCGCUAAGGGUAUCUUUUGGCACCUCUAAAAAUGGUGCAGAAUAAGGGGUGGGCAAGUCUGGUGUCAGCCGCCGCGGUAAUACCAGCACCCCGAGUUGUCGGGACGAUUAUUGGGCCUAAAGCAUCCGUAGCCUGUUCUACAAGUCCUCCGUUAAAUCCACCUGCUCAACAGAUGGGCUGCGGGGGAUACUAUAGGGCUAGGAGGCGGGAGAGGCAAACGGUACUCAGUGGGUAGGGGUAAAAUCCAUUGAUCUACUGAAGACCACCAGUGGCGAAGGCGGUUUGCCAGAACGCGCUCGACGGUGAGGGAUGAAAGCUGGGGGAGCAAACCGGAUUAGAUACCCGGGUAGUCCCAGCUGUAAACGAUGCAGACUCGGUGAUGGGUUGGCUUCGCGCCAACCCAGUGCCGCAGGGAAGCCGUUAAGUCUGCCGCCUGGGGAGUACGGUCGCAAGACUGAAACUUAA